ACAGGUCGAUGAUUUUAGUGAACUGAUGAAAUCUUAUAGAUCAAACACACAUUUGCUUUGCAGUCAAUGACUAAUAACAAUUCUUUUCUAUCAUCUGAAAUCUAGACGUUGUGGACAAAAAAGCAAAGAGAAUCUGAAUACUCCGUAAAAUCUCAUCCUGAAAUUAAGUCCCAAGUAAAACGUAGAGGCUUCAGACUGGCUCAAGAUUCAUCAAGUCCGGCAUCUCUGAAUUGACUAUUAAAAUAAUAACAUCAAGCUUAAGCUUGAGAAUUCUAACAUUAUUUUGGCAAGUUUAGGAACCAGCAGAAAGAAUUGUGGACUGUAUCCUACAUAAAGGUGAAAUUAUAAGAAUUGUGGACUGUAUCCUACAUAAAGGUGAAAUUAUAAGAAUUGUGGACUGUAUCCUACAUAAAGGUGAAAUUAUAAGAAUUGUGGACUGUAUCCUACAUAAAGGUGAAAUUAUAAGAAUUGUGGACUGUAUCCUACAUAAAGGUGAAAUUAUAAGAAUUGUGGACUGUAUCCUACAUAAAGGUGAAAUUACGUGUCUAAUGAAAAGCAACCACGAAGACGUGCAUGAUUAUCCAAUGGCAUUAAUCAGUGAAUCUGCAACAUAAAAGAUCUGAACAUAUUGAAUGGACUCCAUAUAAGGAUUUGAGUACCCAUGUUGGACAACUACAUACUCAAGACACGGAUAAUGGAAGUUACAUAUGGAUCCUUCGUUUUAAGCAUAAAAUGACCCUUUUUUUCCCAAAUGCAAGAACACUUGAAUUGACAUAAUCUGUCAAGACUCAUUCCUCUAGUCCAUUUAAUGCAGCGCACAGUGGAUAUGUUCCACAUAAACUAAUACAAAAACUUGUGUAGAAGAUGGAACUUUAAAGAAUAGUUGCAGUUUUUUUUUUUUCCAUUUUUAGUGAUCCCAAUUUAAUAAGAGAUUAGAUCCAAAACUAAAGUUGG